AAAAUUGUAGGAGAUAGGGUGUAGGAAACCCUAAUUUUGACCAUUUAACUUUCUCUAGUCAACCACCAUGAAUCAACUUGCAAACUUGAAAUUCUCUCGAUCUCUUAGACUCAUGGAGGAUCACAUAUGUAUAAGAUGAUGUAAUAUGAAGUAUUCCUUGAAACAUUUGAUCAAAUGUUAAAUAACCUUACUGGGGAGGUCACACAAGAUACCCAGAUGAAUUAGGGCUUCCAAGGCAAAC
rnacentral:lncRNA from 1 species